rnacentral:rRNA from 1 species
GUAGGUGGCAAGCGUUGUCCGGAUUUACUGGGCGUAAAGAGCGCGCAGGCGGUCGUUCAAGUCGCGUGUGAAAGCCCCCGGCUCAACUGGGGAGGGUCACGCGAUACUGAUCGACUCGAAGGCAGGAGAGGGAAGUGGAAUUCCCGGUGUAGUGGUGAAAUGCGUAGAUAUCGGGAGGAACACCAGUGGCGAAGGCGACUUCCUGGCCUGUUCUUGGCGCUGAGGCGCGAAAGCUAGGGUAGCAAACGGGAUUAGAUACCCCGGUAGUCCUAGCCGUAAACGAUGGACACUAGGUGUUGGUGGUAUCAACCCCGCCAGUGCCGAAGCUAACGCAUUAAGCAUCCCGCCUGGGGAGUACGGUCGCGAGAUUA